AAGAGCCCUGCGGACGCCUUCGAAUUCUUUCUGCGCGUCGCUGCGUACCUGGCCUUUGUGGAGCUGUAACCCUCGUACCCAUCCCCCCGACCCGUAGCUCACCACCACCGGCCUGCAGUCGCCAGCUGUACGUCCCAAGGCUGAGAGAUGCGUGGCGCGAACCCGGGCCUAAGCGUCUGUGCGGCCGUACUCGCCACGAGGGACCUGCGCAAUACCGCGCCCUCGCACCUAGACGCGCACGGCCCAUCGGCUGUGCCAGAUGGAAGACCCUGUGGAGGUUACUGGUGAGGACUCGAGAUUGUGACGGUUUUCUGGUGGCAUCUGAUACUGAAGAGAACAUCGUCUCUGGAGCUGUGCCUUAAGACUAAGUCUCACUCCAGGCCAGGCCAGCUUCCAGUUUGCAUCUGACAGGCACAUGCCACCAUGCCCAGCGUCAUCUGUGACUGACUAGAAUGGGAGAGACCAUGGGAAAGAAGACAAGCAAAAAAGAACAGCUUAUAGGUGCCAGCAGUAAGUUCUGUAAACAUUUUUUUACUAUUGGUGUAUCUACAUAAAAU